UUGUCCUACGGGGCGCAGCAGUGGGGAAUAUUGCACAAUGGGCGCAAGCCUGAUGCAGCGACGCCGCGUGAGCGAAGAAGUAUUUCGGUAUGUAAAGCUCUAUCAGCAGGGAAGAAAAUGACGGUACCUGAAGAAGAAGCACCGGCUAACUACGUGCCAGCAGCCGCGGUAAUACGUAGGGUGCAAGCGUUAUCCGGAUUUACUGGGUGUAAAGGGCGAGUAGACGGCGUUGCAAGUCAGAUGUGAAAGGCUAGGGCUCAACCUUAGGAGAGCAUCUGAAACUGUAAUGCUAGAGUGCAGGAGAG
rnacentral:rRNA from 1 species